rnacentral:rRNA from 1 species
AGAGUUUGAUCAUGGCUCAGGAUGAACGCUGGCGGCGUGCCUAACACAUGCAAGUCGAACGGAGUUUAUAUUAUGAAGUCUUCGGAUGAAUUGAUAUAAACUUAGUGGCGGACGGGUGAGUAACGCGUGGGUAACCUGCCUCAUACAGGGGGAUAACAGCCGGAAACGGUUGCUAAAACCGCAUAAGCGCACAGCAGCGCAUGCUGCAGUGUGAAAAUAUUUUAUAGGUAUGAGAUGGGCCCGCGUCUGAUUAGCUAGUUGGUGAGGUAACUGCUCACCAAGGCGACGAUCAGUAGCCGGCUUGAGAGAGCGACCGGCCACAUUGGGACUGAGACACGGCCCAAACUCCUACGGGAGGCAGCAGUGGGGAAUAUUGCACAAUGGGGGAAACCUUGAUGCAGCGACGCCGCGUGAGUGAAGAAGUAUUUCGGUACGUAAAGCUCUAUCAGCAGGGAAGAAAAUGACGGUACCUGACUAAGAAGCCCCGGCUAACUACGUGCCAGCAGCCGCGGUAAU